AGAGUUUGAUCCUGGCUCAGGAUGAACGCUGGCGGCGUGUCUAAGGCAUGCAAGUCGAAUGGGUUUAGACCCAUGGCAAACGGGUGAGUAACACAUUGGUAACCUGCCUCGAAGUUCAGAAUAACCCGAUGAAAAUUGGGAUAAUACUGGAUGUGCUGUAUUUUCAUAAGUUGAUACAGUAAAGAUUUAUCGCUUCGAGAGGGGCCUAUGGCUUAUCAGCUAGUUGGUAGUGUAAAGGACUACCAAGGCUAUGACGAGUAGCGGGGAUGAGAGUGCGACCCGCCUCACUGGGACUGAGACACUGCCCAGACUCCUACGGGAGGCUGCAGUCAAGAAUCUUCCACAAUGGGCGAAAGCCUGAUGGAGCGACGCCGCGUGACCGAAGAAGCCCUUCGGGGUGUAAAAGUCUUUUAUUAGGGACGAAUCAAUGACGGUACCUAAUGAAUAAGGGGCUGCUAAACUCGUGCCAGCAGCAGCGGUAAUACGAGUGCCCCAAGCGUUAUCCGGAUUUAUUGGGCGUAAAGCGUCUGUAGGCGGUUUAUUAAGUUUCACGUCAAAUCCUGAGGCUCAACCUCAUGACCGCGUGAAAUACUGGUAAACUAGAGGACGGGAGAGGUAGAUGGAAUUGCCGGUGUAGCGGUUAAAUGUGUUAAUAUCGGCAAGAACACCAAAUGCGAAGGCUUUCUACUGGAACGUUCCUGACGCUCAGAGACGAAAGCGUGGGUAGCGAAUGGGAUUAGAUACCCCAGUAGUCCACGCCGUAAACGAUGGAUGCUUGACAUUGGAAGUUUCGACCCUUUCAGUGUCGUUCAACUAAGUUAACACCUUAAGCAUCCCGCCUGGGUAGUACGAGCGCAAGCUUAAAACUCAAAGGAAUUGACGGGGACCCGCACAAGCGGUGGAGCAUGUGGUUUAAUUCGACAAUAAGCGAGGAACCUUACCAGGGCUUGACAUGAUACUGCAAAUCUCCAGAAACGGAGACUCCUUCGAGGGUGUAUCACAGGUGUUGCAUGGUCGUCGUCAGCUCGUGUCGUGAGAUGUACCGUUAAGUCGGGUAACGAGCGCAACCCCUAUCUUAUGUUAAAUCAUUCAUAAGAAACUGCCUGUUUAUCGCAGGAGGAAGGCGGGGACGACGUCAGAUCAGCAUGACUCUUACGCCCUGGGCGACACACGUGCUACAAUGGCCAGUACAAAGGGCCGCCAAAGCGAAAGCUGGAGCAAAUCCCAUCAAAACUGGUCUCAGUUCGAAUUGAGGUCUGCAACUCGACCUCAUGAAGUUGGAAUCGCUAGUAACCGUAUAUCAGCCAUGAUACGGUGAAUACGUUCUCGGGUCUUGUACACACCGCCCGUCACAUCAAGGGAGUUUAUAGCACCCAAAUGCCGUCGUAGGAUGGCAAAAGGUGAGAUAAAUGACAGGGAUGAAGUCGUAACAAGGUAACC
rnacentral:rRNA from 1 species